rnacentral:rRNA from 1 species
GGUUAAAAAGCUCGUAGUUGGAUUUCUGUUGAGGAUGGGCGGUCUCUACUCUCGUAGAUGCAUUUGUCACAGCCUCGGCAUCCUCUUGAAGAACGGUUCUGUGAUUCAUUUCGUGGUCCGGAAUUCAAGACUUUUACUUUGAGGAAAUUAGAGUGUUCACGGCAAGCAAUCGCUUUGAAUACAUUAGCAUGGAAUAAUAAUAUAGGACCUUGGUACUAUUUUGUUGGUUUCUAGAACUAAGGUAAUGAUUAAUAGGGAUAAUUGGGGGCAUUCGUAUUAACGCGUCAGAGGUGGAAUUCUUGGAUUGCGUUACGACGAACUACUGCGAAAGCAUUUGCCAAGGAUGUUUUCAUUGAUCAAGAACGAAAGUAUGGGGAUCGAAGACGAUUAGAUACCGUCGUAGUCUAUACCAUAAACUAUGCCAACUAGAGAUUGGAGGUCGUUAAUACUAUGACUCCUUCAGCACCUUAUGAGAAAUCAAAGUCUUUGGGUUCCGGGGGGAGUAUGGUCGCAAGGCUGAAACUUAAAGGAAUUGACGGAAGGGCACCACCAGGAGUGGAGCCUGCGGCUUAAUUUGACUCAACACGGGAAAACUUACCAGGU